UAGGAAGUGGUGUAGUGGAAGCACCAAGAGUUUURA
rnacentral:tRNA from 1 species